rnacentral:rRNA from 1 species
UACGUAGGGGGCAAGCGUUGUCCGGAUUUAUUGGGCGUAAAGAGCGUGUAGGCGGCUUUACAGGUCCGUUGUGAAAACUCGAGGCUCAACCUCGAGACGCCGGUGGAAACCGUAAAGCUAGAGUCCGGAAGAGGAGAGUGGAAUUCCCGGUGUAGUGGUGAAAUGCGUAGAUAUUGGGAAGAACACCGGUGGCGAAAGCGCUCUGCUGGACCUGCACUGACACUGAGGGACGAAAGCUAGGGGAGCGAAAGGG